CAGUCUCUGAAAUUCAUUGUUCUGUACAGAAGAAAUCCGAUAUAGAACCGAUAUGGUUUCUGGAUUUUUUUUAGUGUUGGUGUUUCUUUGUGUGAAUAAAUGGAGAUAUGGGAUAUACAAUAAGAUAGCAAAGGCUAUGCAAUUAACGACAUCAAAACCAUAGACAUUUUUCAGUUUCCUAGUACAUAUUUGUUUAAGUCGUUAAACUUCUAAUUGAACUUCUGGAGAAAAAUCAAACCAUAAUGAAAUCAGGAGAUGUGGUAUAGUUGACAAUGAAACAAUUUUCCACCAAAGACCAACUGACGUACAUGAUAGCUUGCUAACAUUGGUACAUUUGAUAACACCAGUUU
rnacentral:lncRNA from 1 species